rnacentral:lncRNA from 1 species
GAGAAUGUGGAUGGCAAGCAGUCUCUGUGCUUAACUGUGGAUGGCAAGCAGUCUUUGUGCUUAACUGUGGAUGCUAUGAUGCAGCCAGAUUGUUAAGAUUGAUUCACAUCUUCUCCUGGUAUUUUUGUGUAAGAAACACAACUGCAAGUAUUCUUCUCUCACUGACAGGCUGAGAUUGCAGUGCAUGCUUUAUGCCUAGUCAAUAACAAAUGCAUGCACAAACACACACAUGAGAAGAAUACAGGCACAAAUAAAUAUGAAUAAAAAAAAAGGGGCAUUCCGAGAAUCGAACUCGGGAACUCGGGACCUCUCGCACCCAAAGCGAGAAUCAUACCACUAGACCAAAUGCCCAUAUUGAAAUAUAAGGGGCUAUAUCAUUAUUUAUGCAUCGAUUGUCUUCAGUUCUACAGUUAGACGGCAUACAAAUUAUAAGAUUUGGUUACCUGGAUGGGUAAUUAUCAAUCAAGAUAACUGUUUUCCAAGUCAAGAUAUGAAAGAGAGUUGGUUUUAUAUAUUUAAAGACUUCCCAUGAAUUGUCAUAUGAUUUAAUUACACUUACAGUGGCAAGUUGUCACUCUUUGCUGAAAAACUUCCAGCUAAAACUAUUAAUGAUUCUUCCAACACAUUCACAUUCGGCCCCUGAAGCUUAUUGUUUUAUAAGUAUACAAAAUAACAAGUCAAGCUAGUCAGCUUCCACACUUCAAAAGCUUAAAUUUAAGGAAUAAUUGGUAGUUGGUAUUUAAGUAUGAGGAUUAAUUAACUGGGGUUAUUUGGGAACUCACCCUGAGUGAGAAUCAGAUGACAAGAUCAAAAGCCUUACCAUGCAAUAUUUUUUAUUUGCUAAUCAUAUCCAAAAGUAAUUAAUUGAUUUGCUAAAAUUAUUUUAGGGUGAUCAACCAAGCACAAUACAAAAAGAAACUGAUUGUUUAGAUGGUGAUUUGCAUUUUCUCCUGUUCUUUAGAAAAAAAUGCAACUUCUAGUAUUCUAUCCUAUCUGAGAAUGCAGUGUUUUUCUUGUGCCAAAAUGACAAAAACACAUGAAGACAUUUAGGCAAAGAUAAAAAGAAAAGGGGGCAUUCCGAGAAUUGAACUCGGGACCUCUCGCACCCUAAGCGAGAAUCAUACCACUAGACCAAAUGCCCAUAUUGGGAGAGUUGGAGCAAAGUCACAUCUAUGUCCGUUUAAUUUAGAAUUGUAUAUGCAUGCCCCAUUCUCUUCAGUUCUAUGGUAAGAUUGCAUACCAGAUUUGCUUACCUGGAUAUGCAAUUGUAAGUCAAGGCAACCUGUUUUUCUAAUCAAAGUGAGUUUACUAAUUCAUGGAGCAUUAACUGUGUGAGCGCACCUCUCCUAAUUUAGAUUCUUUACCUGCUUUUCUUUACAACCGGACCUGUACCACUGUCUCUGGUUUUAUAUUUUAACUAUCAACUACGACUUACAACAAAUUAUUGUAUUACAUUUUCUGUGGCAAGCAGUUAAAGAACCCAACACAAUCACAUGCAACCUCUGAUGCUUAUUAUUAUUUAACUAAACGAAUUAACAAGUAAAGUUCGUCAACUUCCGGAAGUUGAAAAGACUAAAAUUAGAAAUCAAACCUGGUGUUUAUUGGUUGGUAUUUG